UACGGGGGGGGCAAGCGUUGUUCGGAAUUACUGGGCGUAAAGGGCUCGUAGGCGGCCAACUAAGUCACACGUGAAAUCCCUCAGCUUAACUGGGGAACUGCGUGUGAUACUGGAUGGCUUGGAUUCGGGAGAGGGAUGCGGAAUUCCAGGUGUAGCGGUGAAAUGCGUAGAUAUCUGGAGGAACACCGGUGGCGAAGGCGGCAUCCUGGACCGAUAUUGACGCUGAGGAGCGAAAGCCAGGGGAGCAAACGGG
rnacentral:rRNA from 1 species